rnacentral:rRNA from 1 species
GUAGUUGACUCCGUGGCUACGAGACGACGCUGGCGGCGUGCCUAACACAUGCAAGUCGAGCGAUGAAGUUCCUUCGGGAACGGAUUAGCGGCGGACGGGUGAGUAACACGUGGGUAACCUGCCUUAUAGAGGGGAAUAGCCUUCCGAAAGGAAGAUUAAUACCGCAUAAAGUUGUUGAUUCGCAUGAAUCGAUAACCAAAGGAGCAGUCCGCUAUAAGAUGGACCCGCGGCGCAUUAGCUAGUUGGUGAGGUAAUGGCUCACCAAGGCGACGAUGCGUAGCCGACCUGAGAGGGUGAUCGGCCACAUUGGGACUGAGACACGGCCCAGACUCCUACGGGAGGCAGCAGUGGGGAAUAUUGCACAAUGGGGGAAACCCUGAUGCAGCAACGCCGCGUGAGUGAUGAGGGCCUUCGGGUUGUAAAGCUCUGUCUUUGGGGACGAUAAUGACGGUACCCAAGGAGGAAGCCACGGCUAACUACGUG